AGCACCGGCUAACUCCGUGCCAGCAGCCGCGGUAAUACGGAGGGUGCAAGCGUUACUCGGAAUCACUGGGCGUAAAGGACGCGUAGGCGGAUUAUCAAGUCUCUUGUGAAAUCCUAUGGCUUAACCAUAGAACUGCUUGGGAAACUGAUAAUCUAGAGUGAGGGAGAGGCAGAUGGAAUUGGUGGUGUAGGGGUAAAAUCCGUAGAGAUCACCAGGAAUACCCAUUGCGAAGGCGAUCUGCUGGAACUCAACUGACGCUAAUGCGUGAAAGCGUGGGGAGCAAACAGGAUUAGAUACCCUGGUAGUCCACGCCCUAAACGAUGUAUACUAGUUGUUGCUAAGCUAGUCUUGGCAGUAAUGCACCUAACGGAUUAAGUAUACCGCCUGGGGAGUACGGUCGCAAGAUUAAAACUCAAAGGAAUAGACGGGGACCCGCACAAGCGGUGGAGCAUGUGGUUUAAUUCGAAGAUACGCGAAGAACCUUACCCGGACUUGAUAUCUAACAAAUCAUCUAGAGAUAGAAGAGUGUCUGCUUGCAGAAAUGUUAAGACAGGUGCUGCACGGCUGUCGUCAGCUCGUGUCGUGAGAUGUUGGGUUAAGUCCCGCAACGAGCGCAACCCACGUCAUUAGUUGCUAACAGUUCGGCUGAGCACUCUAAUGAGACUGCCUUCGUAAGGAGGAGGAAGGUGUGGACGACGUCAAGUCAUCAUGGCCCUUAUGUCCGGGGCGACACACGUGCUACAAUGGCAUAUACAAUGAGAAGCAAUAUCGCGAGAUGGAGCAAAUCUAUAAAAUAUGUCCCAGUUCGGAUUGGAGUCUGCAACUCGACUCCAUGAAGCCGGAAUCGCUAGUAAUCGUAGAUCAGCCAUGCUACGGUGAAUACGUUCCCGGGUCUUGUACUCACCGCCCGUCACACCAUGGGAGUUGAUUUCACUCGAAGCCGGAAUACUAAAUUAGUUACCGUCCACAGUGGAAUCAGCGACUGGGGUGAAGUCGUAACAAGGUAACCGUAGGAGAACCUGCGGUUG
rnacentral:rRNA from 1 species